ACGGGAGCUUGCUCCCUUAGGUCAGCGGCGGACGGGUGAGUAACACGUGGGUAACCUGCCUGUAAGACUGGGAUAACUCCGGGAAACCGGGGCUAAUACCGGAUGCUUGAUUGAACCGCAUGGUUCAAUCAUAAAAGGUGGCUUUUAGCUACCACUUACAGAUGGACCCGCGGCGCAUUAGCUAGUUGGUGAGGUAACGGCUCACCAAGGCGACGAUGCGUAGCCGACCUGAGAGGGUGAUCGGCCACACUGGGACUGAGACACGGCCCAGACUCCUACGGGAGGCAGCAGUAGGGAAUCUUCCGCAAUGGACGAAAGUCUGACGGAGCAACGCCGCGUGAGUGAUGAAGGUUUUCGGAUCGUAAAACUCUGUUGUUAGGGAAGAACAAGUACCGUUCGAAUAGGGCGGCACCUUGACGGUACCUAACCAGAAAGCCACGGCUAACUACGUGCCAGCAGCCGCGGUAAUACGUAGGUGGCAAGCGUUGUCCGGAAUUAUUGGGCGUAAAGCGCGCGCAGGCGGUUUCUUAAGUCUGAUGUGAAAGCCCCCGGCUCAACCGGGGAGGGUCAUUGGAAACUGGGGAACUUGAGUGCAGAAGAGGAGAGUGGAAUUCCACGUGUAGCGGUGAAAUGCGUAGAGAUGUGGAGGA
rnacentral:rRNA from 1 species